GACAGAGGGUGCAAGCGUUGUUCGGAAUCAUUGGGCGUAAAGCGCACGUAGGCGGUUGUGUAAGUCGAAUGUGAAAUCCCUGGGCUUAACCCAGGAAGUGCAUCCGAUACUGCACGACUUGAGUCCCGGAGAGGGUGGUGGAAUUCCUGGUGUAGAGGUGAAAUUCGUAGAUAUCAGGAGGAACACCGGUGGCGAAGGCGACCACCUGGACGGAGACUGACGCUGAGGUGCGAAAGCGUGGGGAGCAAACAGG
rnacentral:rRNA from 1 species